rnacentral:rRNA from 1 species
GUUGGGUAGGGGAGCGUUCUGUAAGCCUGCGAAGGUGGCCUGUGAGGGUUGCUGGAGGUAUCAGAAGUGCGAAUGCUGACAUAAGUAACGAUAAAGCGGGUGAAAAGCCCGCUCGCCGGAAGACCAAGGGUUCCUGUCCAACGUUAAUCGGGGCAGGGUGAGUCGACCCCUAAGGCGAGGCCGAAAGGCGUAGUCGAUGGGAAACGGGUUAAUAUUCCCGUACUUGGUGUUACUGCGAAGGGGGGACGGAGAAGGCUAUGUUGGCCGGGCGACGGUUGUCCCGGUUUAAGCGUGUAGGUGUGUGUUCCAGGUAAAUCCGGUUCACUUUAACACUGAGGCGUGAUGACGAGGCACUACGGUGCUGAAGCAACAAAUGCCCUGCUUCCAGGAAAAGCCUCUAAGCAUCAGGUAACAUCAAAUCGUACCCCAAACCGACACAGGUGGUCAGGUAGAGAAUACCAAGGCGCUUGAGAGAACUCGGGUGAAGGAACUAGGCAAAAUGGUGCCGUAACUUCGGGAGAAGGCACGCUGACAUGUAGGUGAAGUGAUUUACUCAUGGAGCUGAAGUCAGUCGAAGAUACCAGCUGGCUGCAACUGUUUAUUAAAAACACAGCACUGUGCAAACACGAAAGUGGACGUAUACGGUGUGACGCCUGCCCGGUGCCGGAAGGUUAAUUGAUGGGGUCAGCGCAAGCGAAGCUCCUGAUCGAAGCCCCGGUAAACGGCGGCCGUAACUAUAACGGUCCUAAGGUAGCGAAAUUCCUUGUCGGGUAAGUUCCGACCUGCACGAAUGGCGUAAUGAUGGCCAGGCUGUCUCCACCCGAGACUCAGUGAAAUUGAACUCGCUGUGAAGAUGCAGUGUACCCGCGGCAAGACGGAAAGACCCCGUGAACCUUUACUAUAGCUUGACACUGAACAUUGAGCCUUGAUGUGUAGGAUAGGUGGGAGGCUUUGAAGUGUGGACGCCAGUCUGCAUGGAGCCGACCUUGAAAUACCACCCUUUAAUGUUUGAUGUUCUAACGUGGACCCGUGAUCCGGGUUGCGGACAGUGUCUGGUGGGUAGUUUGACUGGGGCGGUCUCCUCCUAAAGAGUAACGGAGGAGCACGAAGGUUGGCUAAUCCUGGUCGGACAUCAGGAGGUUAGUGCAAUGGCAUAAGCCAGCUUGACUGCGAGCGUGACGGCGCGAGCAGGUGCGAAAGCAGGUCAUAGUGAUCCGGUGGUUCUGAAUGGAAGGGCCAUCGCUCAACGGAUAAAAGGUACUCCGGGGAUAACAGGCUGAUACCGCCCAAGAGUUCAUAUCGACGGCGGUGUUUGGCACCUCGAUGUCGGCUCAUCACAUCCUGGGGCUGAAGUAGGUCCCAAGGGUAUGGCUGUUCGCCAUUUAAAGUGGUACGCGAGCUGGGUUUAGAACGUCGUGAGACAGUUCGGUCCCUAUCUGCCGUGGGCGCUGGAGAACUGAGGGGGGCUGCUCCUAGUACGAGAGGACCGGAGUGGACGCAUCACUGGUGUUCGGGUUGUCAUGCCAAUGGCACUGCCCGGUAGCUAAAUGCGGAAGAGAUAAGUGCUGAAAGCAUCUAAGCACGAAACUUGCCCCGAGAUGAGUUCU